UACAGAGGGGGCAAGCGUGGUUCGGAAUUACUGGGCGUAAAGGGCGCGUAGGCGGCCUUCUAAGUCGAACGUGAAAUCCCCGGGCUCAACCCGGGAACUGCGUCCGAGACUGAAAGGCUCGAAUCCGGGAGAGGGAUGUGGAAUUCCAGGUGUAGCGGUGAAAUGCGUAGAUAUCUGGAGGAACACCGGUGGCGAAGGCGGCAUCCUGGACCGGUAUUGACGCUGAGGCGCGAAAGCCAGGGGAGCAAACGGG
rnacentral:rRNA from 1 species